rnacentral:rRNA from 1 species
UUGCCUUAGUAACGGCGAGUGAAGCGGCAACAGCUCAAAUUUGAAAGCUGGCUCCUUUGGAGUCCGCGUUGUAAUUUGUAGAGGAUGAUUCGGCAAGGGCUCCCGCCUAAGUCUCCUGGAACGGAGCGUCAUAGAGGGUGAGAAUCCCGUAUGCGGUGGGCUGCCUAAGCCAUGUGAAUCUCCUUCGACGAGUCGAGUUGUUUGGGAAUGCAGCUCUAAAUGGGAGGUAAAUUUCUUCUAAAGCUAAAUACCGGCCAGAGACCGAUAGCGCACAAGUAGAGUGAUCGAAAGAUGAAAAGCACUUUGGAAAGAGAGUUAAAAAGUACGUGAAAUUGUUGAAAGGGAAGCGCUUGCAGCCAGACUUGUCCGCAGUUGCUCAGCCGGUCUCCUGACCGGUGUACUCUUCUGCGGCCAGGCCAGCAUCAGUUCGGGCGGUCGGAUAAAGACCUCGGGAAUGUAGCUCCUCUCGGGGAGUGUUAUAGCCCGGGGUGGAAUGCGGCCAGCCUGGACUGAGGAUCUCGCUUCGGCUAGGAUGCUGGCGUAAUGGCUGUAACCNGCCCG